UACGUAGGGUGCAAGCGUUAAUCGGAAUUACUGGGCGUAAAGCGUGCGCAGGCGGCUUUGCAAGACAGAUGUGAAAUCCCCGGGCUCAACCUGGGAACUGCAUUUGUGACUGCAAGGCUAGAGUACGGUAGAGGGGGAUGGAAUUCCGCGUGUAGCAGUGAAAUGCGUAGAUAUGCGGAGGAACACCGAUGGCGAAGGCAAUCCCCUGGACCUGUACUGACGCUCAGGCACGAAAGCGUGGGGAGCAAACAGG
rnacentral:rRNA from 1 species